GUUCAUACUCAAACGUUCUUGUAUCUUAUUCAAAGAAUAAUGCUACCCUUUUGUACCAUGAUUUGAAUAAAAUCAGGCACACAGUUAACCCAACUAACCCAACUAAACACUGUCAAGUCAGGUCUCUCUGUUAUCAAAACUCACGCUGCCAUCUCCACCCCAAACUGCCGCAAUUCAAACCCAAUAAAGAAAAGCUAGGCUCCCAUCCCACCACUACCGUCUCCAAAUUCCGGCGAACAGAUAACUAACAAAAUCCUCUGCACUAAAAAUGGACCGUUCUACUAAAUCCUCUCCCAAAUACCCAUGAAACCAAUGGCUAAGGCGAGCGCGAGUUCGAAGCCUUUACCUCCUUUUUAUUAUUCGCGUUCUCCAUGGUUUCUUCUUUGAACGCUCGAGGGUCUGCAACUGCAAGCGAUUUUUACAAGGAUUUGCAGCAAUUCCUUCAUCAUUUUCAGGUGGGUCACCGCCGCCGAUGCCUGAUUCAAGAAGUUCAGAGGCCACUUGGAGGUGUUUCAACAGCCAGGUAACCGCAAAGUGAAGGCUCAGCCCACCUCUGUUGCCUGAACCCCAGGAUGAGGUGCCGUGAAUUAUGCAAUUCCAUCGAGAAAGCUCCCGUUUGGAUUUUCAAUUAAUUGGUGACUUCUAAAUCUCCAAGCUAUACUCCACAAAUCUGGAUCCAAUGAGGGAGGGAAGAGAAGAGAGAGAGAAGAAGAGGGGGGGGGGUGGAUGUGGUUCAGUUGAAGUGUUUGCGGUGGGAAGCUGGUGGGGAAGAUUAGGAGGGGAGUUGUAGCUGCAGGAGCUGCUACCACUAUUAGGGUUCUUAUUUUAUUUUAUUUUUUUAUCCAUAAAAUAAACUAAUUUUCAUUUUCUUAAUUAUUUCUAUAUUAUUAAUUUUUUGUUCCAGCAGAUCCACUGUGAAAGACAUUAAUUGGAGACCAAGAACAUUCACUUGCA